CCUACGGGCGGCAGCAGUGGGGAAUAUUGGGCAAUGGGCGCAAGCCUGACCCAGCAACGCCGCGUGAAGGAAGAAGGCUUUCGGGUUGUAAACUUCUUUUGUCCGGGAAGAGUAGAAGACGGUACCUGACGAAUCAGCCACGGCUAACUACGUGCCAGCAGCCGCGGUAAUACGUAGGUGGCAAGCGUUGGCCGGAUUUACUGGGUGUAAAGGGCGUGUAGCCGGGUUGACAAGUCAGAUGUGAAAUCCUGCGGCUUAACCGCAGAACUGCAUUUGAAACUGUUGAUCUUGAGUACUGGAGAGGCAGACGGAAUUCCUAGUGUAGCGGUGAAAUGCGUAGAUAUUAGGAGGAACACCAGUGGCGAAGGCGGUCUGCUGGACAGCAACUGACGGUGAGGCGCGAAAGCGUGGGGAGCAAACAGGAUUAGAUACCCCUGUAGUC
rnacentral:rRNA from 1 species